rnacentral:lncRNA from 1 species
UCCUCAUCAAACACCCCUCCAUUCAGCCCCUUGUUCUGCCUUUUCCACCCACCGCUUCCAUUCCUGAUGGCGUCGAAAACGUCCGUGACCUCCCUGCUGGCGGCUUCCGUUUAAUGACACUGGCCUUAGCUGAUCUUCAUGGCCCCAUUGUCUCUUGGUUUGAAAACCAUCCCUCCCCGCCUGUUGCAAUUGUUUCUGACAUGUUUCUUGGCUGGACUAACCGCCUUGCCCAUGACUUGAACAUUCCGAGGUUUGUUUUCUCGCCUUCAGGGGCCUUAUCAUUGUCAAUCAUGUAUAAUCUGUGGCAAAAUUUGCCCAAAAGAAAUGAUCCAACGGAUGAUAAUGAAGUGAUCAGGUUCGAAGGAAUUCCAGGCUGUCCAUCUUAUCCCUGGUGGAAGAUAUCGCCGUUGUUUCGGAGUUACGUGGAAGGGGACCAACAAUCAGAAGUCCUGAAAGAAUCACUCAGGGGAAAUAUGGCGAGUUGGGGACUCGUGAUCAAUUCCUUCUCGGACCUGGAACAGGCUUACUUAGACUAUUUGAAGGAGUUUUUAGGCCAUGAUCGCGUGUGGGUGAUCGGGCCUUUGCUUCCUCCCGUUGAAGAACAAGUCAGACGAGGUGGAUCUAGUGAAAGUUUGGCCUACGAGAUCAAAACAUGGCUUGAUCAAUUUAAAGAAAAAUCUGUUGUCUAUGUCUGUUUCGGGACUCAAGCUGUGUUGACCAAUAAGCAAAUGGAAAUGCUGGCCCUGGGAUUGGAGAAGAGCGGGGUUCCGUUUCUUUGGUCGUAUAAGGACCCUAAGGGACACGCUGAAGGAGAGUACAACAUGAUUCCUCCAGGGUUCAAAGAUCGCGUGGCUGGGAGGGGACUAAUUGUGAAGGGUUGGGCACCACAGGUUUUAAUUUUGAGUCAUCAAGCUGUGGGAGCGUUCUUGACUCAUUGUGGCUGGAAUUCGGUGCUAGAGUCGAUCACAGCGGGCGUGCAGAUGUUGACUUGGCCAAUGGGUGCUGAUCAGUUCGAAAAUGCUGAUUUGUUGGAUGAGUUUAAGGUGGGAACUAGAGUGUGUGAGGGGGCGAAAACAGUCCCUGAUCCAGAUGAGUUGGCUCGGGUGGUGGCGACAGCGAUGAGCGACGAUCGAGGAGUUGAAAUGGCGAGGGCCAAGGAGUUGAGUAAAGCUGCACUAGAGAGUGUUGAAGAAGGAGGUCAUUCUCAUCAAGCUUUGAAUGGUUUCGUUGAUUUCUUGUCCAAAGCUCAACCAAAUAUGUAAGUGGGCUAGUGCAGAUUGCAGACAAUUUUAUCAGAAGCAUGGACUGGAAACCUUUAUAUGAUAGUGCUAGUUAUCCAUAGUUCCGGUCGGCUUUUAGAUAAUUAUUUGAACUCAUGCAUUUCUUUGUUACAUGUUAAAUAAUUGAUCAAGGAGGGAGAGAACUUUAUCAUCAGAUCAAAUCUCGAAAUAAAUUCUAUUCACUUCCUCAGAACCUUUGAGCAGGUAUAGAGGCUACAGUAUACAAUAUUAUACGUGUCUGUACGUUCAAGACUGAUAGUAUCAAGUAAAAGCAACAUAAGCAAUAUGCAUUAAUGGUAGGGGUGAGCGUGGUUCGGUUCGGCUCGGUUUUGGGCCGGAACCGCAACCAUAACCAUAAAACCACGGUUUUUAAAAUUGAAAACCGUAACCGCAACCCAACCAUCGGUUCGGUUUCGGUUUGAGAUUUCUCGAUUCGGUUUAAAAUGGUUCGGUUUCGGUUAAAAACCGGGUCAUUAGAAAGCUGCAUUUUUCGAAACAUUGGUUCUGACUUCUGAGAUUUCCUUCACCUGUUCAACAACUCAUUGGAUGAUACGAGACUGUGAGCAUUGGAUUCAAAUUCUUCACAGCUAGAAAGUUAACAAUCAACCUCCUCUGCUCAAGGCUCAAGCAUAAUUAAAAUAACAAAGCAAUGUUUAAAAUUAGAAAACAAUGUUUAAUAUUAACAAUGCAUGCUACACCUACUGUAAUUAUAUGCAAAAGCUGUAACUGGAUUAAUUUACAUGUAUAAUAAAAUACCUGUAACAUCAUUACCAUAAAACCAAACUUGAAUAAGUGGAACAGAACAACAAUGCAUAACUGCAGCACUCAAAAAUUAGCAAAGCCAUACAUAUUUAUGCCUGCAAUAAGAAAUUAUAAACUCCCGCACAAUCAAACAUUGCAGGCUAGGCACUAGCUAUGGAAAUUGUAAAUAAAUAAACAAAUGUGAUUAUACCUCAAGGAAAACAGGAAAUAUAUAUAAUUUUUUUUAUUUAAUAUACGGUUCGGUUCAGUUAAUUAUGGUUCGGUUUUAUUUCAAAACCGAAACCGAACCACAUGAACGGUUCGGGUUUUCGGUUUUUCGGUUUUAAUUUUGGUUCGGUUAUAUAUGGUUCGGUUAACCUCGGUUUUUAUCGGUUUUGGUUCGGUUUCGGUUACAUUUCGGUUUUUUGCUCACCCCUAAUUAAUGGUACUCCGUUCCAUUUCAUGUGAGUCCCCCUUUUAUGUUAUGUGAGGUUUGAUUGACAUGUUUUUUAAAAGGGAAAAUAGAUUUUUUUGCCACUCAACUUAUAGCGUUUUUAGAAACUUACCACCCAACUAAUUUAUUUUUUCUUUUAGUCACUAAUGUUAGGUUUGGUUUUUUUUCUUUAGCCACUAACUUAGGUUCGAAUUUGAUUACUAGUAUUAUGAUAUUUUUUUUUUGUCAUUAAACUUAUUGCGUCUUUAGAAACUAACCACUCAACUAUAAUUUUUUUUAUUUUACUCACUAGUGUUAGAUUCAGCUUUUUUUUUGUCACUGAAGUUACGUUCGGAUUUAAUUAUUAGCAUUACAUAUUAUGUGUAGCAUUAUUAAAAUAUAGUGGUAGUUUGUAAUAUUUUGAUAAUUUCAUAUAUGUUUGUAUUUUUAUAUAUAGUACUUUUUAUGUCUCCAAGGUCGUUUACCUUGGAUGAUAAGAAUGUUACACGCAUUUUAUGGCCUUUAAAAGAUGUAGUUCAAAUAUAAUUUUAUUUUUUUUCUCGAAUGAAAAUUCAGCGUUUGAAUUUUUACACACAAAAAAAAUCACGAAAAUAAGUUAUGGAACUAUGUUUUAUAGAGUGUUCUAAAAAUCCCCGAUUUAACCGAUUAAUCCCCUGCAAGAUCAGCCGCCGAUUCGAUUUUUGAAAUCCGAUCAAUCCUUAUAUAUAUUUCUUAAUCAAAGUAUAUAUGAUAAAUUAUUAAAAUUAAAAUACUAUAAAAUUUUAAAUAUGAAUAAUUAUAGAGUUUAUGAAUAUAGUAAAUAAUAUUAGUUACUAAAUAGCUAAUAUAAUAAUAACUAAAUAUUAAAUAAUAUUUUAAUAUUAAAAUAAAUCCGAUUUUCACUCCGAUUAAUCCUUCCGAUUAAUCCCCGAUUUUUGAUUAAUCCCUGAAUCGGUAGCUCAACCGAUUAGGUCCGAUUCCCGAUUUCUGUGACACUGGUUUUAUAAGACUCUUAAAUACGUGCUAAGCAGUAGAAAAAACUGUAAACUGAUGAGAGAGACGGAGGGAGUAAUAAUAAUAUAAAAUGAUGUAUUAUAUAUAGAGGACAAUCAUCGAAAAUUAAGUUUUUCUCUCUAUUUAUUUAUCUUGAAAAUUUUAAUAAGACAAAGUUAUUAAAAUUUUUGAAGAUAAAUUUAAAAAAGAUCUUAGACUGAGCUAGUCGAUUGAAAUUUUAAUAGAGAAAGAUGAUGCGUCAUAUCACUCAAUUACACUUUAUCUUAUGAGAGGAGGUCAAUUGUUUGAAGUCAUUAAUUUCAUAUUCAUGAUUUAUUGAAUUUUUGGAAUUUAAUUACGAUUUUUUCUGAUUUUAAUUUUCAUCGGCUCAUUUUAUAUUAUUAUUGCUAUAUAUAAAGAUAUAAACAUACGACACAUCAUCAAAAUAUUACAUACUAUCACUAUGUAUAAAUGAUGUUACAAAAAAUUAUUAUAAUGCUCGUAAUCAAAUCCGAACCUAAGUUGGUGGCUAAAAAUAAAACCAAACCUAACAUUAGUGACUAAAAGCAAAAAUAAAUAAGUUGGGUAGUAAGUUUUUAAAAACGCUAUAAGUUGAGUGGCAAAAAAAUCUAUUUUCUUUUUUUAAAAGUUGGAUACUUUUUAAUUUUAAUUAAAAUCGUAGUCUAUACGAGACACGAACAUUUUCUCGCACGGGUGGAUAAAUGUUGCUCGUCUUGUUACUAUCCCGCGAUACAAAUGAUACAAGCAUGUAUUUUAUUAUUUGAACAUACCUUUUAGAGGCCAGUCUUCCAGCCUUCCAGGAGCCACCAAUCAGUUAUAAAAGGGAAAAACAGAAGGAAGCAAAGCAUGGGAGAAAGAUAAAAGUUGUCAAUUUAUUAUGGUAAUUCUCAUCAUCUGCUCUUAAUACUCAGGUGGGAGCUCACAGAUCAGCAAUAACCAGGAAGUUGGUUCUCGUACUAAAUCGCAAUAGUUCCAGUCUUAGUUAAGGUUUAGGAUAAAUGCCUAAAUCGGAUGGCAUAAUUUUUUAUUAUCUAUUUUGGGUUGGGGAUCAUUUUUUUUUUUUUUGACAAAUGGUUGGGGAUCAUUUUAUUUUGACUAUAUAUAAAUCCAGGAUAUUUAGGGUCCAAAUCUAAAUUAAUAUUUUUCAGUAUCUUAUUUUUAUUUCUAGUGAGGUGGUUUAUGAUCCAUCGAAUAUGAACGUAAUAUAUUCCAUUUAUACUAAAUAUUAUCUAGCUUCAAUUAUUCAAAUAAUUAUCGUUUAGUCUAAUAAACAUAAUGCUAUAAAAAUAUAAUAAUUAUAAAUUAAACUUAUAGUUAUAUCUCCUAUAUGUAUAUAUAAUUUAUUAAAAACAUAUGAAGAUAAUAUACAUUAUCACGGUGAACAAUCACAUUUUAUGAAAAUUUAAACUUAAAUAAGAUAUUAAAAUUUCAUAAAAUGAUGCUAUUUACUCACGAGUUAAAAAUAUAUUCAGUAUAAGUUUGUUUCCGAUAUGAUUCUUUGAUCAUAUUACAAAAAAAUAACAAGUACAUACCAAUGCACCAAUGCUGAAUGCAAUUACAACACACAACUAUGAUUCUCAAGUAUAAAAAUGUUCAGGAAUUUCAAAAUAUUUGAUGAACAAAUACACCAAUUCUCACGGUAUAUCAAUUGUCACUGCACAUACAUAUUGUGAAAGUCUUCAGUUUUUUACAAAACAAAACGAUAUAAAAUUUGAUAUAUCCUCCUAGUCUCUUUCCCNNNNNNNNNNNNNNNNNNNNNNNNNNNNNNNNNNNNNNNNNNNNNNNNNNNNNNNNNNNNNNNNNNNNNNNNNNNNNNNNNNNNNNNNNNNNNNNNNNNNNNNNNNNNNNNNNNNNNNNNNNNNNNNNNNNNNNNNNNNNNNNNNNNNNNNNNNNNNNNNNNNNNNNNNNNNNNNNNNNNNNNNNNNNNNNNNNNNNNNNNNNNNNNNNNNNNNNNNNNNNNNNNNNNNNNNNNNNNNNNNNNNNNNNUCUUUCCCUCUGGAGCAAGUCAACUUGAUGGCAAUCUCAGAAGCCGGAGCACAUAUCCUGAUCAUCCCUUACCCCGCGCAGGGGCACAUGAUCCCCCUCUUAGACCUCACUCGCCAACUCGCUCUCCGUAACUUAACCAUCACCAUUCUUGUCACCCCCAAGAACCUCCACUAUCUCAACCAACUCCUCAUCAAACACCCAUCUAUUCAGCCUCUCGUCUUGCCUUUUCCAGCUAUGGCUGCUCUUCCUCCUGCUGGAGUCGAAAACGUUCGUGAUCUUCCUCCCGGUAGCUUCCGUUUGUUCACCAUGGUGUUGGCUGAUCUCUAUGAUCCCAUAGUCAAAUGGUUUCAGAGCCAUUCAUCUCCGCCUGUAGCUGUUGUUUCUGAUAUAUUUCUUGGCUGGACUAACCGGCUCGCCAAUGAGUUGAAGAUUCCGCGCUAUGUUUUUUCGCCAUCCGGUGCUCUGGCUUUGUCAGUCGUUUAUAAUCUCUGGAAUAAUAUGCCAAGAAGAAAUGAUCCAACUGAUAAGAAUGAGGUGAUUGAGUUUUGUGAUAUUCCCAAUUGCCCAUCUUUCCCCUGGUGGAAGAUAUCGCCUGUUUUUCGCAGUUACGUGGCAGGGGACCCGCAGUAUGAAGUUUUUAAGGAUUCGUUUCGAGAGGAUAUAGCGAGCUGGGGACUUGUGAUCAAUUCGUUCACCGAGUUGGAACGAAUUUAUUUGGACUAUCUUAAAGAAUUUCUGGGUCAUGAUCGGGUGUGGGCGGUUGGACCAUUACUCCCUCCAAGAGAAGAACAAGUUAAGCGAGGUGGAUUCAGCGGAAAUUUAGCCAAUGAGAUCGAAUUAUGGCUUGAUCAAUUUGAAGCUGGCACGGUUGUGUAUGUUUGUUUUGGAAGUCAAGUUGUGUUGAGCAAUAAGCAAAUGGAAAUGCUAGCAUUGGGAUUAGAGAAGAGCGCGGUGAGGUUCCUUUGGUCAUAUAAGGCCCCAACCGAGGAAGAUGUAUUAGAAAAUUAUGGUGUGAUGCCGUUGAGGUUCAAAGAUGGUGUAGGCGAGAGACGGCUCAUUGUGAAGGGGUGGGUUCCGCAGGUGUCAAUACUAAGCCACCAAGCCAUAGCGGCGUUCUUGACUCAUUGUGGGUGGAAUUCAGUGUUGGAGUCCAUCGCAGCUGGAGUGCCAAUGCUGACUUGGCCAAUGGGGGCUGAUCAGUUUGCAAAUGCAGACUUGGUGGAUGAGCUCAAAUUGGGAACUAGACUGUGUGAGGGGGAGGAAAUGGUUCCUGAUCCGGACGAGUUGGCUCGUGUGGUGGCUCAAUCCGUGACUGAUUCAAGAGGGGGUAAAGGGGUCAGGGCUGAGGAGCUGAGCAAGGCAUCAGUUGAUAGUAUAGCACAAGGUGGAAGUUCUUGUAAAGCCUUGAAUUGUUUAGUUGAUUUCCUGUCGAGACGGGAAACAUCUUAACUUUUUGUUAAUUAUAAGGAAUACAAGUUUCUUUUCAUUUCUUUUAUCGCGUGUAACGCAUGUUAUUGAUGUUAUGUUUUUGUACUUGUCUGUAAAAUUGUCAAUUGAACUAAGUUUACACAUUAGAAAUGAAAAUUAGCAGGUUUCAAAAAAAAAAAUGAAAAUUAGCAGUACAAAAUUUGAGAACAUAAUGACACUUAAAUAUCUGUAAUUGACUUAACUAGUUAACUGCAAUGCUCCUGUUAGUGUUUCUAACUUUCUACGAAUGAAGUUGGAUCCUAGAUAUUGGGGCCGUUUGGGUUAGCUUAAAAGAAGUGACUUCUUGCUUAUAGUAAAGAAGUGGAGUAGAAGUGAGAAGUAAAUAAGUUAAUAAAGUGUUUGGAAAAGAAAAAGAGAGAGAAGCUAGCAUUCUCAGCUUCUUAAAAGUGCUUCAACUUCUUUACACAAACGGGUCAAGAGAAGCAGAAGCCAGAAGCAGCUUCUGCUUCUCUUGGCCAAACAGGCCCAUUGUCUGAUAAGCUUCUUUUUUCUUUCUUUUUUUCAAACUUGUUCUUUUUCUUUGUGUUCUUCCUUCUCUUUCUUCGCAGUUCUAAAUUGAAUUUCUUCUCGAUAGAAAUUACUCAUAAAUUAUAAAUUACUUUAAUUAUUAUCAUUAUUUUAUUUUUAAUAACUUAUAAAUCAUUAAAAAAUUAAAAUUACUCAAAUUGAUAUUUUAUUUUUCAAAUUUUUGAUAUUAAAUAAUGUUAAAUCACAAGUCUUAAUUUUAAACUCAGCCUAGUGAGUCCAAGAUCAUUUACAAAGAUGCGUAUUGCGGUCUUAAUUUAUUUGUCUUGUUUGAUUUUUUGUGCUCAAAUUAGCCAAACUUUGACCGAUAAUUAGUAAUUAUUCUUACAAGAUGAAAAUCGAAAAAAUAGAUUUUAAAGUGGAAUAGAAGUAGAUUUUAAUAAUGUAUAUUUUCCAUAAUUUUUUUUAAAUUGUUAUAUAUAUAAAUUUUAAUUAAAGUUUAGUCAAUCUAACAUUAAAAAAUAUAAAUAAACUGGGACAGAGGAGUAUUGCGAAGUCGUCUACGAGAGUGUCAACUUGAUGAGAAUCUCGGAUUCAGGAGCACGUGUCCUGCGCUUAUCCCGCGCAGGGGCACAUGAUCUGCCUGUUAGACCUCACUCGCCAACUCGCUCUUCGGAAACUCCCCUGUCUGAAUCGGAGAGCCUCGAAUUGUUUAGUUGAUUUCUUGUCGACACAAGAAACGUCUUUGUUGCAAUCAAAGCUGCAUAGUUGAAUCGUAAGGAAAUACAGUUUUGCGUGACGUAUGUUUUUGAUGCCUUGUGUUUGUGAUAACGCCGACGGUGUCAUUUUCUAGAAUUUUGUUGUUUUCUGCGACUUCUGCUUGAAUUGUUUCAGUCGUGUGAAGUGAAGAUAAUCAUAACAUAUUCAGAGAAGUUUAACCAUCCCAAAAUUAAUUAAAUACAUAAUAUAAAUAAAAAUUAUUAGAAUCAUGUAGAAAAAAUUCGACUCACAUGAAAAACUGUUGUCGUGGACAAUUUGAACCAACUUUUGUAAACUUGUAUAAAUCAUCUAUUAUUAUAUUAUAAUAGAAUAUUUUGUUUUAUAAUAAUUUGAAAAAAUAAUAACAUAUUAUUUUUAAAUAUAGUCAAUUGGCAUUUUUAUUGAAAUAAAAUAUUUUACAGGUCAGCAAAUUUAUACAAUUUCAUAUAUUUUCAAUUUAGCCAACCAAUAUCUUUAUAGAUUAUUCACUAUGACACUAAAUAUUUAAGAUGCAAUAUUUUCUAUUUCACAAAUAAAAAUAUUUGGAGUUCGAUUAUUAGCUAUUCUUAUUUUGAUACUUAAAAUAUGAUUACAAAAAUCCUUAAUUUAAUUAACUAAUUACCGGACUAAUCAUUAUAAGAUGUUUAAUUGAUUCGAGUUUUAAGAUCUAGGUAAUCGCUAUAUAUAUUUUCCGAAUUAGGAUCUAAUAAUUCAAAUAAUAUUAUUGUAUCAUAAUAUAUAUGAGGUGAAAGCUCUUUAUCUCAUUUUUUUAGUUGUGUCUCCUAAAUUAUCCAUUCUCAUGUCCAGAUUGAUACGUUGUAUGCGCAUUUGGCACAUGUGAUUAUCAAUAUACUCAUAAACAAAAUGCGUAUAGCCACUUUCUAGAUAUUGUUUUUAAAUUUAUUUUCUGUACACGCAUUAACAAGAUGCGAGGCACUAUAAACGCAUAAUAAGAAUGCGUAUAUUGAAUGCUUUCUUGAUUGAUUAUUUUUUUUUUUGAUAGAAAUUGUUUAUGUACACACGAGACAUGAAACUUUGUAGAUUUGUAUAAUUUAUUGAUGCUGACUAUUCCUUGUAUUUUGAAAUAUAUGUCGUUUGAUUUGUUGACACAGUCACACAUAUUUGUAAAUCUAUUGAGUGUAUAGUUAAAAUCAUUAUUUGUAAUUUUUUUCUAAAUAAAAAUAUAUGAAUAAUAUUAUAAUUUAAAAAAAUUAAAAAAAAAUUAUAAUUUUAAUUCAACGAUUAAACGACUUAGAAAUGUGUGUCAAAAUGUUAAGCGAUUUAUAUUUUAAAAACAUGAAGAGUAUAAUUCAAGAGAAGAGAUGAACGCUUGCGUGUUAGGUAGAGAUGGACUCGGGGAGGAAUUUAAUUUGAAGCGGAGUACAAGAUGGUGAUUAAAAGCAAGGUAUAGGCAGGUUAUCUUGAAAUGAUAUACGCAUUCAAUGCAUGCGUGUAUAGUUGGAUAGAUUGGACAUCGAUCCCGACAAAUUGUAUUUUAGGCAAGUAACUGUGUAUUUUAUGUUAAUACGGGCAUUCUCUCUAUAUACAGGACGGAUCUAGAAAUCUAGUUAAGCGGGGGCAAAAAAACACACAAAAAAUAAAAGCUCUUGUUAGAGAGAAAUUUUCACUAAACCAAGUGUAGUUUGAGUUAAUUUAUUAGAUAAAUAUAUAAGUUUACGAUAAGAAAUACGCAAUAUAUCAAGGAGAACUACUCGGAUUUGAACCCACAAUCAACUGAGUAUGAACAGAAUGCAUUGAUCAUGGGGUCAUUAGAGGUAAAAGCAUAAUAUAAAAAUAUAAAGUAUAUUAUAAUUUUGAAAGCAGUGGGGGCAACUGCCCCCAAAACCUAUCAUGUACAUCCGUCCCUGUCUAUAUAUGAUUGCAUUCAAAAUAUAUAUAAUUUAUGUUAAUAUUCUUAAAAAUAUUUUAAUUAUUUUUAAAUAUGUGUCUUUAUUAUUUAUUAAUAAAUUCGAUUCCUCUUUGUAACACCACGUUCAAGGUAAGCUUUCAGCCUUCUUUAUAAAGUCUAUAAUUACCGGGAACUAGUGAACUACUACUGCUGUCGUCUGCUGUACAAGUUUCUUUUUGCGUAACGUAUGUUAUUGAUCCUUAUUUGUGCUUGUCGGCGUCCAUUUUUUGAACUGUGUUGUUUUGUGCGACUUCUUUACAGCUGUGCGGCAGUCCGAACUUUUUAAAUAAUUCACAGCCUAAAAAACCAUGACAUCACAUUUUUUCAAGCUGGGAAUUUAGAGUUUGAUUAAGGUACUGUUUGGGGUUGCUGUUGCAGACAGCAACAGCAGCUUUUUGCUGAAAAGCAAGUGAAAAACUGUUUGGUAAAUCUAAAAGCAGCUUUUCCGAACUGCAGCUUUUAGCUCAAAAGCUGCUGUUAGAAAAAGCAGGUCCUCCCAUGCUUUUGGAAAAAGCUGCUUUUCAGCUUUUGCAGAAUGCUGUUAUAGAUUUCAUUAUAAAACCUCACCAAAAACAUUAUUUUUUUUUAUUAUUAUAACUCAAAAUAAGUAAAUAUCAAAAAAUUACCAAACAGUUAUCUGAAAUCUACAACAGCACUUAUUUUACCAGCACUUUUUCUGACAACACAGCAAUUUUUAACAGCACUGCCAAACAGACCCUAAGAGCUGUUUUUACCGACACUUGCAAACAUCAUCAGAAAAAUUAUCAAUAUAAUUGAUUAAGUACUUGACUACUCGUUACAAAAUAUUUUAUCAAUUCAAAUUAUAUAAAUUGAAUCAAUCUCUUUGAAACUAAUACAAUAAUUCAAAAUUUUAAUAAUAAUAUAUAUUUAAUAUUUUAUUAAUAUUCUAAUUAAUCUCUUGUCUUUGUUUACCCCAAUUAAAUCCGAAGCACAAUUUUUAUGAACACACCAUAAAACAAGUCAGUCAUGAGCCCGAAGUCUAUCAUAGCUGAAAGUAUGCCGUCAUUGGAUACAUCAUUCUGUACAUUUAGUAUCUUUUAUCUCAUUUAUUCUUGGGAACCACAUACCUUCUCUACCACAGAAGUACUGUAUAUGAUUGCUGGAAUUUAGCAAAAUAGAAAGUGAAAGAAAUAAUCUCAGAAGUCUCUUUGCUCUGCAACUGCAUUAUGGCAAUCUCAGAACAUGGUGGUGGUGGUGCACACAUCCUUGUAUUCCCUUAUCCUGCACAGGGUCACAUGAUUCCCCUCUUAGACCUCACUCACCACCUCGCUCUCCGCAACUUAACCAUCACCAUUCUUGUCACCCCCAAGAAUCUCCAUUUUCUCAAACCACUCCUCAUCAAACACCCCUCCAUUCAGCCCCUGGUUUUGCCUUUUCCGCCCACUGAUUCCAUUCCUGAUGGCGUCGAAAACGUCCGUGACCUCCCCAGCGGUGGCUUUAUGUAUAUGAUGGGGGCUCUGGUUCAUCUUUACGAUCCCAUUGUUGACUGGUUUCGAAACCAUCCCUCCCCGCCUGUGGCUAUUGUGUCUGACAUGUUUCUUGGCUGGACCAAUCGGCUUGCUGGAGAG